rnacentral:rRNA from 1 species
AUUGAACGCUGGCGGCAGGCCUAACACAUGCAAGUCGAACGAGUGGCGGACGGGUGAGUAAUGUCUGGGAAACUGCCCGAUGGAGGGGGAUAACUACUGGAAACGGUAGCUAAUACCGCAUACCAUCGGAUGUGCCCAGAUGGGCUUAGCUUGUAGGUGAGGUAACGGCUCACCUAGGCGACGCUCCCUAGCUGGUCUGAGAGGAUGACCAGCCACACUGGAACUGAGACACGGUCCAGACGCCGACGGGAGGCAGAAGUGGGGAAGAGUGCAAAAUGGGCGUAAGCCUGAUGCAGCCAUGGCGAGUGUAUGAAGAAGGCCUUCGGGUUGUAAAGUACUUUCAGCGGGGAGGCGUUACUCGCCGAAGAAGCACCGGCUAACUCCGUGCCAGCAGCAGCGGUAAUUC